UGGGGAAUAUUGCACAAUGGGCGCAAGCCUGAUGCAGCAACGCCGCGUGAACGAUGAAGGUCUUCGGAUCGUAAAGUUCUGUUGCAGGGGAAGAUAAUGACGGUACCCUGUGAGGAAGCCCCGGCUAACUACGUGCCAGCAGCCGCGGUAAUACGUAGGGGGCUAGCGUUAUCCGGAUUUACUGGGCGUAAAGGGUGCGUAGGUGGUCCUUCAAGUCGGUGGUUAAAGGAUACGGCUCAACCGUAGUAAGCCGCCGAAACUGGAGGACUUGAGUGCAGGAGAGGAAAGUGGAAUUCCCAGUGAAGCGGUGAAAUGCGUAGAUAUUGGGAGGAACACCAGUAGCGAAGGCGGCUUUCUGGGCUGCAACUGACACUGAGGCACGAAAGCGUGGGUAGCAAACAGG
rnacentral:rRNA from 1 species